rnacentral:rRNA from 1 species
UGGGGAAUAUUGCACAAUGGGCGCAAGCCUGAUGCAGCCAUGCCGCGUGUAUGAAGAAGGCCUUCGGGUUGUAAAGUACUUUCAGCGAGGAGGAAGGCGUUGUGGUUAAUAACCGCAACGAUUGACGUUACUCGAAGAAGAAGCACCGGCUAACUCCGUGCCAGCAGCCGCGGUAAUACGGAGGGUGCAAGCGUUAAUCGGAAUUACUGGGCGUAAAGCGCACGCAGGCGGUCUGUCAAGUCGGAUGUGAAAUCCCCGGGCUCAACCUGGGAACUGCAUCCGAAACUGGCAGGCUAGAGUCUUGUAGAGGGGGGUAGAAUUCCAGGUGUAGCGGUGAAAUGCGUAGAGAUCUGGAGGAAUACCGGUGGCGAAGGCGGCCCCCUGGACAAAGACUGACGCUCAGGUGCGAAAGCGUGGGGAGCAAACA